AUUUAACCUCAUUCCCAGCUUCCUUCCAUACCUUGAUUUUUGUGUUAGAAAUGAGAUAAUGAAUGGGGAGUCAGGUGGGGUAAUAU
ensembl:miRNA